rnacentral:lncRNA from 1 species
GAAGCACUGAUUUUCAGAUUGAUUUGGGGCUAUAUGUGCACAUCUGGCCCUGAGUGGAAGCCUCCAAGACCACAUCCCCUGACAUCCUAAGUGAUGUGAGUCUGGCUGAGCAGCACCCACUGGAGGAUGAAUGCUCAUCUGGAAAUACAGGAGUUUCUGGAGCCAUGUCUGAAAAAUGCAGCAAAAAUGGAUCAGGGUUUCCACCCAUCUCAGCCCACUGAGCUCGUGGUGAGGGCAAGACAGCAGCAGAGGGAAAGAGCAUGCCAUCUGAAGUCACAGGCUCCUAGCACCAGCUCCACCACUUAACAGCUGUUUAUCCCCUAUACAGCAGGAAAAAGUCAAGACUGGGCAAAUCUACUUUUGUGUGAUUUCAUCCAAGCAACCAAACACUGCUCAAGAAAAACAACACAGUUUGACUGGCUGGUUGCACAAGUUCAAAACCAUGAAUAUCAAAAGGACACCCACGCUCCCCAGCAAUCCUACCACCCACUGCCUUGUGAGGAAGGUGCUUGCUUUGCCUUCUGCCGUGAUUGUUAAGUUUCCUGAGGCCUCCCCAGCCAUGCAGAACUGUGAGUCAAUUAACCCUCCUUUCCUUUAUAAAUUACCCAGUCUCAGGUAACUCUUUAUUAUAGCAGUGUGAGAAAGGACUAACAUAGUAUGUGAGACGACGAAUAUAUUAAUUAACUAUAGUAAUCACUUCACCAUAUAUAUGUAUUAUCAGAACACCACAUUGUAUACCUCAAAUAUAGACAAGUUUUAAAAUAAGAAAAAUAAAACAAAACUACUAUUUGUUCCCCUUUUUGAAAAAAAACACAUACACACGGAACAUUGAUCCAGAUACACUGUAUGCUGGGCCAUAAAGCAAGUCUCAACAAAUGUCAAAGGAUUGCAAUCAUACAAAAUAUUGAAUUAAACUAAAAAAUAAGCUUUUUAAAAGUCAUUAGAAAAUCCUGGGCCAGGCACGGUGGCUCACACCUGUAAUCCUAGCACUUAGGGAGCCCAAGAUGGGUGGAUCAUCUUAGGUCAGGAGUUCGAGACCAGCCUGGCCAACAUGGUAAAACCCCAUCUCCACUAAAAAUACAAAAAUUAGCCAGGUGUGGUGGCAGGUGCCUGUAAUUCCAGCUACUCAGAGGCUGAGGAAAGAGAAUCAUUUGAAUCCAGGAGGUGGAGGUUGCAGUGAGCCAAGAUCAUGCCACUGCACUCCAGCCUGGGUGACACAGUGAGACUCCAUCUCAAAAAAAAAAAAAAAAAAAAAAAAAGAAAGAAAAGAAAAAGAAAAUCCUAUAUACACCAUGGAACACUAUGCAGCCAUAAAAAGGAAUGAGAUCAUGUCCUUGGCAGGGACAUGGAUGAAGCAGGAACCCCUUAGCCUCAGCAAACUAACCCAGGAACAGAAAACCAAACACUGCAUGUUCUCACUUAUAAGUAGGAGUUGAAAGAUGAGAACACAUGGAUACACGGUGGAGGGAAAAACACACAUUGGGGCUUGUUGGGGUCGGGGGAGGGAGAGCAUCAGGAAGAACAGCUAAUGGAUGCUGGGCUUAACACCUAGGUGAUGGUUGAUCUGUGCAGCAAACCUCCAUGAUACACCUAUGUAACAAACCUGCACAUCCUGCACAUGUACCCUGAAACUUAAAAUAAGAAAAAAAAGAACAAAUCUCCCCAAACUCAGCAACAUAUCACAAGUCUUUUAAAUUUUUUUAGUGGGUUGAUGACCCUUAGUCUCCUAUUCGUUCAUUCUUGCCUUCUUUUGAAAACACAUACACACACACACACACACACACACACACACGCCCAAAGAAAAUUUAACUCCAAGUAUCUGCACCUGAGAAAGGAGCUCCAUUGCCAAGUAUUUUGCCCCCAGGAAUGACAUGUUGUUUUAACAUCUCCAUGACUUCCUGCAGGUCAGCCCUUCUUGGCCACCAUUCUGACCCUGUUGGUAGUUAUAAUAACCACCUGGCUUCUGGGGCCUAAGCACUGCCAUUUGUCCUCAAUUGCUUCAGGCUCCAUAUCCCAGUUGCCAUCAGUGAGCCCACUCCUGUGACAACUUCUUCUGUCACCAUUGCUCCCUGCUGAGGGAGCCACCACCGACCACCAACACCCUUUCACAGCUCAAUCUGGAUGGCCUUGGUGGAUGAUGUGUCCUCUAGGCCUUCCCAUGGAAUAUAGACCUCUAGUGAGCUGAUUGGCCUCACAGAAUAUAUCCAUUUUAGCAUGCUCACUUCUUGUGUAAUCCCUUAUUCUAUCAUCUACCAGAGAAAUUCAGGUAUUUCAACCUUGCUCAGCAUGGGACAUUGCCUUUUCCAAUCUUCUAGGAGCCACCUUAGCAGCAAGUUUGCAUCAUUUCCAGGUAUUAUAUCCCAAAAGAGUUUCCUCUAAGUCAGUCAGGAGAUCGAGACCACCCUGGCUAACAUGGUGAAACCCUGUCUCUACUAAAAAUACAAAAAAAAUUAGCUGGACGUAGAGGUGGGUGCCUGUAGUCCCAGCUACUCGGGAGGCUGAGGCAGGAGAAUGGCGUGAACCCAGGAGGCAGAGCUUGCAGUGAGCCGAGAUAGCGCCACUGCACUUCAGCCUGGGUGACAGAGCGAGACUCCGUCUCAAAAAAAAAAAAAAAAGUUCCUCUAAGUCAAGAAACUCUCUCAUCUCCAGUAUUACGAUCACUCCCCGGCCUUGAUUAAGCACCCUCAGAAUCUAGUCCCACACUGCUGGUCCAUGCUGUCUAGGGCUGUAGACCCUUUCCUCUCUUAGCUCAUGCAGCAUAUGCCCUGAUGGGCUUAUGUUGCAACUUAACUCUGGUUCUAAGUCUGGCAGCACCAGGACAGGGGAACAGCUCCUGAGUUGGGCACCUAUUGACCUGAGGUAGAGAGACUUCUGUCCUGUUGCUCUGUGGAGUGCUGGUUUGUAAUGGGAUGGAUGAGCCACUCAGGAUAGGCCAGAACUAUCAGUCCUGAGCCUCAUAUCCCACCUUUUCUGUUAGCCUACUGCAAGGCAUGAGAACUGCUUUGCAAACUCUCAUACUUAAUUUUUUUAUUGUUAAUUGCUCUCAGGUUUCUAAAUUUGCAUUCACUGUUGUCUUAUCAUCCCAUAGGGCUUGGAUGCACUUGAUAAUGACCAUCCAUAACAACCAGCAGGAUUGGGCAGGGAACCAUCAAAUCACAAUGCAGAUUUAACUCCGUCUUUGCACCUCAAAAAGGGGCUCCAAAUUUUCUCUCUUGCUCGUCUGCUUUGUAUCUCUUUGCCUUCUGCUCUUAUCUUUAUUAUUUCCAUCCUUCUAUUUUGUUUGUGCUUAAUUUGCUGUUCUUUUUCUAGCUCCUUGAUAUAGAUACUUGAAUAAUCGAUUUUUUUUCUAGAAUAGGCUGUAGUAGACAUAGAGAUGUGCCACUCUGAUAACCCUUCAAAAAAGAACUGUGGGCCAGGUUGGGUGGCACAUGCCUGUAAUCCAGUGCUUUGGGAAGCCAAGUUGAGAGAUUCACUUGGGGCCAGGAGUUUAGGACCAGCCUGGGCAACAUAGCAAGACCCUAUCUCCACAAAAAUAAGAAAUUAGCCAGGCAUGGAGGCAUGCACUUGUAGUCCUGCCUACUCAGGAGGCUGAGGUGGGAGUUCAAGAGGUCGAGGCUACAGUGAUCUAUGAUCAUACCACUGCACUCCAGUCGGUGACAGAGUGAGACUGCCCAGCUGCUUAUAAGAGUGGUCAUAUGACAGUCUCCAGAAGGCAAUAGAAGAGAAAGCAGAUGGAUAAGAGAGAAAACACAGAAGUCAAAAGUUGGUUGUUUGGAAAGACUAAUAAAAUUGAUAACUUCCUAGCAAGAUUUAUUAAGAAAAAGAGACAUAAAGAAAGAGAAUACAAACUGCCAAUAUCAGGAUUCAAUAUAGAUGAAAAAGAUAAGAAAACAUUAUGAAUCAUUUUUGCCAAUACAUUUGACAACUUAGAUAAAAUGGGCAGAAUCCUUUAAAAGCAUGACUUACUAAAAUAGCCACAGAGAAAAUUGAAAUUUUAAAUAAUCCCAAAUCUGUCAAAGUAAUUGAAUCCAUAAUUUAAAAACUUUUCCACAAAGAAAACUCUGGUUCCAGAUAGUAUCACUGGUAAAUUCUUCCAAACAUUUGAGGAAGAAAUCAUACUUACCUUGUAUUAACUCUGUUAGAAAAUAGAGACCAGGGACUACUUUCUAGCUUGUUUUAUGAGGCUUGAUAGCAUAAUAUGUCAAGAAUAUUAUAAGAAAGUAAAAUUAUAGGCCAAUUUCUGUCAGACUAAGGCAGAAAUUCAAAACAAAAUAAUAACAAAUCAGAUUCAGCAAGUGUGGUUUAUCCUAGGAAGGCAAGAUUGAUUUAAUAUUCAAAAAUCAAUCAAUGCAAUUCAUCACAUUAACAGAAUAAGUGACAAAUAUAUAAUCAUCUCAGUAGAUUUAGAAAAGUUAUUUGAUUAAAUUCAAUACCCAUUCAUCAUUUUAAAAACCCUCAGCAAAAUAGAAUUAAAAGGAAACUUCCUCAAUCUCAUAAAGGGUAGAACAAAACACCCACAGCUAACAAUAAAGUUGAAACAGUGAACUUUUUCCCCUAUCAGAGCCAGGCAAGGAUGUCCACUAUGGUUUUUCUUUCAACUGUUAAUUGUUCAUUCUAGCCAGUGUAAUGAGGCCAGAAAAAUAAGUAAAACAUAUAAAACUUGUACAGAAAAAUGUAAAACGUUCAUUUGAAAAUUAUGUGACUGUUAACAUAAAAUAUUCAAAAUAAUCUACAAACUAUUGAAUUUAAUGACUGAAUUGAGUGCGGUUACUAGAUGCAUGGUCAAUAUACAAAAAUCGGAUCAGUUAGGAGGUAGUGUCACAUAUUCUAAAAGUUGACUUCAAACUCUUUCCUACCCUUGGCAAUUUAUCUAGCUUCUCCAUACAGGUGAUCUUCUUAGUUUAGAUGGGGGGAAAAACCUGCUAGAACAACUCUAACAUUCUUUGAAUGAGAGUGAGUGGUGCUCCCAAGAGAAGAAAUUGGUCUUUGUUUAGGGAAACAACUUUUUCAUGAGUUGUUGGUUAUGAAAUGUAAGACUCAAGGUUUUCACCAGAAUGGGGAGGAUCUGUAAAAGAGAACUAAAGUUAUCUUCAUAAUAAUAUAAAAGACUAACCUCUGAGGAGAGAGCAUUUUGAGUUGUUUCCUGUUUUGUAUCUUAUUUCCUCUCUGUUGUCCUCCAAUGCAGCAAAACUAUAUUAAUUGCUUAAUUAGUGUCAGAUGUAUUUUGGAAUUUUCUUAGGAAAUAAAGGAAGGGCUGUGAUCAGAUUGGUGGGUGAAUUGAACCACAGAAAACAGAAAGCAAUAAAGUAUAGCAAACCAGGGAGGCAACCCAACAGCCAAAAGUGGUCUAGAAUAAUCUGACAACUGGAGUUUGCAGUUGACAGAUGCUGUCUGGGAAUUUUCAGAAAUAUUUCGGAGGGGACUAAAUUUACUAAAAUCAAAAGUGAGAUGUGGACUCAAGUUAUUUUAUUUGGAUAUAAAAAAUAGUUACACCUCAGUUAUCUAUAGACUUGGGGAUAUUCAGUUUCAUUAUAAUUACUGUACUGAUGAAUAACUUUUGUAUGAAAAUAGUAUAUCACAUAACUUGCAAAGCACUUUACUUUUUAUUAUAUAAUUUCACAGAUAAUUCAUUAUUGUUUUAUUCUCCAAACCUGUCCCAAUACGUGGAAGAGAUGAUAUAUAUUUUCCCUAAAUAAUACUUUUAAGGUAUUUAAACAGAACCUAACACCAUUUUAGAAUAGAGCCAUGCAAUGAUUUCUUCAGGAUUAUUAAGUAAUCCAUUCUAUUUACCAUAGAGCAAACACCCAGCUCAUUUGAAAUUGUUUGCUUGUUUGUUUUUUAGAGAUGGGGUCUUGCCGUGUUGCCCAGGCUGGAUUAGAAUUCCUGGGCUCAAAAGAUUCUGCUGUUUCAGCCUCAUCAGUAGCUGAGACUAUAAACAUGUACCACCUCACCCAGCUGAAAUAAGAUUUUAAAUUUGAAAGUAGACCUCACCUUUCAAGGACAUCUUUAUUAGAGAGCAUGUUGAUACUCUCUAGUGGCUUGGGCCAGAUGGCCCUAUAAUUCUCCCCCCUUCAGGUUCUAUAAUGCAUGGAGAUGGAAGAGAAUGAAUAAAGAGAACGUCAGAAAGGCUCAAGUGUCAAAAGAGAAAUGUACCAAUUAUACUGCUUCCCUUAGCAAAAGUGAACCUGGGAUUAGCAUGGCAGCGAUGGAGGUCACAUCUGUCUGUGAGGAGCAGAGACAUCAUUAAAUAGCUUUUGUUUUAUCAAUGAAUAAUGUCAUCUGGCUUUUCUUCCCUUAAACUAGAGCUAAUUGAUCAGCUCUCUCUUCCUCAAAAAAGGUGUUAUCUUACACAUUAACUGCAAAGCACUUUCAAAGUUUUUCCUCGAGCAGCCCACAGCAACCAAGGAAAGAAACUCCACAUGUGCAC